AAGACCAAGGGUUCCUGUCCAACGUUAAUCGGGGCAGGGUGAGUCGACCCCUAAGGCGAGGCCGAAAGGCGUAGUCGAUGGGAAACAGGUUAAUAUUCCUGUACUUGGUGUUACUGCGAAGGGGGGACGGAGAAGGCUAUGUUGGCCGGGCGACGGUUGUCCCGGUUUAAGCGUGUAGGCUGGUUUUCCAGGCAAAUCCGGAAAAUCAAGGCUGAGGCGUGAUGACGAGGCACUACGGUGCUGAAGCGACAAAUGCCCUGCUUCCAGGAAAAGCCUCUAAGCAUCAGGUAACAUCAAAUCGUACCCCAAACCGACACAGGUGGUCAGGUAGAGAAUACCAAGGCGCUUGAGAGAACUCGGGUGAAGGAACUAGGCAAAAUGGUGCCGUAACUUCGGGAGAAGGCACGCUGAUAUGUAGGUGAAGCGACUUGCUCGUGGAGCUGAAAUCAGUCGAAGAUACCAGCUGGCUGCAACUGUUUAUUAAAAACACAGCACUGUGCAAACACGAAAGUGGACGUAUACGGUGUGACGCCUGCCCGGUGCCGGAAGGUUAAUUGAUGGGGUUAGCGGUAACGCGAAGCUCUUGAUCGAAGCCCCGGUAAACGGCGGCCGUAACUAUAACGGUCCUAAGGUAGCGAAAUUCCUUGUCGGGUAAGUUCCGACCUGCACGAAUGGCGUAAUGAUGGCCAGGCUGUCUCCACCCGAGACUCAGUGAAAUUGAACUCGCUGUGAAGAUGCAGUGUACCCGCGGCAAGACGGAAAGACCCCGUGAACCUUUACUAUAGCUUGACACUGAACAUUGAGCCUUGAUGUGUAGGAUAGGUGGGAGGCUUUGAAGUGUGGACGCCAGUCUGCAUGGAGCCGACCUUGAAAUACCACCCUUUAAUGUUUGAUGUUCUAACGUGGGCCCCUUACCGGGGUUGCGGACAGUGUCUGGUGGGUAGUUUGACUGGGGCGGUCUCCUCCUAAAGAGUAACGGAGGAGCACGAAGGUUGGCUAAUCCUGGUCGGACAUCAGGAGGUUAGUGCAAUGGCAUAAGCCAGCUUGACUGCGAGCGUGACGGCGCGAGCAGGUGCGAAAGCAGGUCAUAGUGAUCCGGUGGUUCUGAAUGGAAGGGCCAUCGCUCAACGGAUAAAAGGUACUCCGGGGAUAACAGGCUGAUACCGCCCAAGAGUUCAUAUCGACGGCGGUGUUUGGCACCUCGAUGUCGGCUCAUCACAUCCUGGGGCUGAAGUAGGUCCCAAGGGUAUGGCUGUUCGCCAUUUAAAGUGGUACGCGAGCUGGGUUUAGAACGUCGUGAGACAGUUCGGUCCCUAUCUGCCGUGGGCGCUGGAGAACUGAGGGGGGCUGCUCCUAGUACGAGAGGACCGGAGUGGACGCAUCACUGGUGUUCGGGUUGUCAUGCCAAUGGCACUGCCCGGUAGCUAAAUGCGGAAGAGAUAAGUGCUGAAAGCAUCUAAGCACGAAACUUGCCCCGAGAUGAGUUCUCCCUGACUCCUUGAGAGUCCUGAAGGAACGUUGAAGACGACGACGUUGAUAGGCCGGGUGUGUAAGCGCAGCGAUGCGUUGAGCUAACCGGUACUAAUGAACCGUGAGGCUUAACCUU
rnacentral:rRNA from 1 species